UGAACUCAUCGUCUCGCGAAUGCACGUAUAGUUAUUGAUCAUGGCUCAGUAUUGNCACGCGGGGUNAACAGUGCCUAACACAUGCNAUGUCGAGCGUGAUGACUGUGGAUGCUUGCUCCCUGUGAUUCAGCGGCGUGAACGUGUGUGAAGGUAAAUGCCUAGUGAAAUCUGCCUGGUAGCUGGUGUGUGAACAAACGAUUUACGAAUAGGAACGCUAAAUAACCUGCAUUAACUGUCCUACGUGUGAUGAGAUAUGCAAGUA
rnacentral:rRNA from 1 species